rnacentral:rRNA from 1 species
UACGUAGGGGGCAAGCGUUGUCCGGAUUUAUUGGGCGUAAAGAGCGUGUAGGCGGCCAUGUAGGUCCGUUGUGAAAACUCGAGGCUCAACCUCGAGACGCCGAUGGAAACCAUGUGGCUAGAGUCCGGAAGAGGAGAGUGGAAAUUCCUGGUGUAGCGGUGAAAUGCGCAGAUAUCAGGAGAACACCCGUGGCUAAGGCGGCUCUCUAGUACGGUACUGACGCUGAGACGCGAAAGCGUGGGGAGCAAACAGG